rnacentral:lncRNA from 1 species
UCGCGAAUUAGCGGGAGCGCGCGCGGUGGCUCUUCUGAGGCCCGUUCCGCGUUGUGGAGCGCGCCGCAGGCCGGCCGCGCGCCCGGCCAUUUCCCGGCGCGCGCCCGCAGGCGCACUGCGAAGCGUCUCUUACGAGUCUGGCGGCCGACUUGGCCCUACGUGGCGCGGGUGUGGCGCCAGAAUUCAAACAGCUGCAGUUGGAAACGACGCUUUCGCCUGCCACGAGCCAAGUCCGUCCAGGACAGAUUGGGUCCGAGAGUGGACACAAGUUUUGCAGCGCAGGGCGGCCUCAGCUUAGGACCGAUUCGAGAAGCUGGGCUGGCUGGCUGGCUGGCGCUGGGCUGUAGUGGGCCCCCAGCGGAGGCCGCCGGAGGAGCGGGCGAGCCCUGGCCGCAGCACUCCGGGAAAGGGCAGUUGGCUGGCAGAAACGCUUGGGUGAAAAAGCGGAAAGCGCCACGUGAGAACAGCCCCGGCGUGCGGCCCUGCAGGGCCUCAGGGCGGGCAUCAAGGCCCCAUGGGGAUCCAUUCCUCCUCACGCUUCCUCGUGCCAGGCAUCCGGUUACACUAAACGUGACCAUACAAGUCUCCCUCAAACAGCGAACGUGAGGUUCAAUACUCCAUUUCGCAGAGGAGAAAACUGAGGCUUAAAACAGCCAGAGAGGAGGCCAUGUGAGGACACAGAGUGGAGGAGGCACUGUCUACAAG